GCCUGGUGCACUGUGCGUCCUCUGAGAGGUGAAGGAGCACUGUGUGGUCAGAGGGCUGCGAGCUCUCUGUUUGGGUUCCGAGGAAGACAGAAUGGGCUGAACUGGAACUGACCUAAAUGUCAGCAAGAGGAGGUCUUUUUCAGUGUGCUCAAUAUGGUCACCAAGCCUGGAAACAUAGACAGAGCUUCAUUCUUGUUGCUCAGGCUGGAGUACAAUGGCACGAUCUCGGCUCACUGCAGCUGCCACCUCCUGGGUUCAAGCGAUUCUCCUGCCUCAGCCUCUCAAGUAGAAAUUUUUUUUUAUGUGUAUAUAU
rnacentral:lncRNA from 10 species